CCUACGGGUGGCAGCAGUGAGGAAUAUUGGUCAAUGGGCGGAAGCCUGAACCAGCCAAGUCGCGUGAGGGAAUAAGGCCCUACGGGUCGUAAACCUCUUUUGCCGGGGAGCAAGUGCGGCGACGUGUCCCGGCCCGGAGAGUACCCGGAGAAAAAGCAUCGGCUAACUCCGUGCCAGCAGCCGCGGUAACACGGGGGAUGCGAGCGUUGUCCGGAUUUAUUGGGUGAAAGGGGUGCGUACGGGGGCUUUUUAGUCAGCGGUAAAAAGUCGGGGCUCAACCCCGUGCGGCCGAUGAAACUGGGGGCCUUGAGUGGGCGAGAAGAAGGCGGAAUGCGUGGUGUAGCGGUGAAAUGCAUAGAUAUCACGCAGAACCCCGAUUGCGAAGGCAGGCUUCCGGCGCCCUACUGACGCUGAGGCACGAAAGUGCGGGGAUCGAACAGGAUUAGAUACCCUUGUAGUC
rnacentral:rRNA from 1 species